CCAACGGCAAGACGGGUGUAUUAACACGUAGGCAACCUGCCUGUAAGACUGGGGAUAACAUAGGGAAACUUAUGCUAAUACCGGAUAUAGUGUUUCCUCGCAUGAGGAGAUACGGAAAGAUGGCGCAAGCUAUCACUUACAGAUGGGCCUGCGGCGCAUUAACUACUUGGUGGGGUAUCGGCCUACCAAGGCGACGAUGCGUAUCCGACCUGAGAGGGUGACCGGCCACACUGGGACUGAGACACGGCCCAUACUCCUACGGGAGGCAGCAGUAGGGAAUUUGCCACAUUGGACUAAAGUCUGAUGGAGCAACGCCGCGUGAACGAUGAAGGUCUUCGGAUUGUAAAGUUCUGU
rnacentral:rRNA from 1 species